rnacentral:rRNA from 1 species
GCCUAAUACAUGCAAGUAGAACGCUGAAGAGAGGAGCUUGCUCUUCUUGGAUGAGUUGCGAACGGGUGAGUAACGCGUAGGUAACCUGCCUUGUAGCGGGGGAUAACUAUUGGAAACGAUAGCUAAUACCGCAUAACAAUGGAUGACACAUGUCAUUUAUUUGAAAGGGGCAAUUGCUCCACUACAAGAUGGACCUGCGUUGUAUUAGCUAGUAGGUGAGGUAAUGGCUCACCUAGGCGACGAUACAUAGCCGACCUGAGAGGGUGAUCGGCCACACUGGGACUGAGACACGGCCCAGACUCCUACGGGAGGCAGCAGUAGGGAAUCUUCGGCAAUGGGGGCAACCCUGACCGAGCAACGCCGCGUGAGUGAAGAAGGUUUUCGGAUCGUAAAGCUCUGUUGUAAGUCAAGAACGGGUGUGAGAGUGGAAAGUUCACACUGUGACGGUAGCUUACCAGAAAGGGACGGCUAACUACGUGCCAGCAGCCGCGGUAAUACGUAGGUCCCGAGCGUUGUCCGGAUUUAUUGGGCGUAAAGCGAGCGCAGGCGGUUUGAUAAGUCUGAAGUUAAAGGCUGUGGCUCAACCAUAGUUCGCUUUGGAAACUGUCAAACUUGAGUGCAGAAGGGGAGAGUGGAAUUCCAUGUGUAGCGGUGAAAUGCGUAGAUAUAUGGAGGAACACCGGUGGCGAAAGCGGCUCUCUGGUCUGUAACUGACGCUGAGGCUCGAAAGCGUGGGGAGCGAACAGGAUUAGAUACCCUGGUAGUCCACGCCGUAAACGAUGAGUGCUAGGUGUUGGAUCCUUUCCGGGAUUCAGUGCCGCAGCUAACGCAUUAAGCACUCCGCCUGGGGAGUACGACCGCAAGGUUGAAACUCAAAGGAAUUGACGGGGGCCCGCACAAGCGGUGGAGCAUGUGGUUUAAUUCGAAGCAACGCGAAGAACCUUACCAGGUCUUGACAUCCCGAUGCUAUUUCUAGAGAUAGAAAGUUACUUCGGUACAUCGGUGACAGGUGGUGCAUGGUUGUCGUCAGCUCGUGUCGUGAGAUGUUGGGUUAAGUCCCGCAACGAGCGCAACCCCUAUUGUUAGUUGCCAUCAUUCAGUUGGGCACUCUAGCGAGACUGCCGGUAAUAAACCGGAGGAAGGUGGGGAUGACGUCAAAUCAUCAUGCCCCUUAUGACCUGGGCUACACACGUGCUACAAUGGUUGGUACAACGAGUUGCGAGUCGGUGACGGCGAGCUAAUCUCUUAAAGCCAAUCUCAGUUCGGAUUGUAGGCUGCAACUCGCCUACAUGAAGUCGGAAUCGCUAGUAAUCGCGGAUCAGCACGCCGCGGUGAAUACGUUCCCGGGCCUUGUACACACCGCCCGUCACACCACGAGAGUUUGUAACACCCGAAGUCGGUGAGGUAACCUUUUGGAGCCAGCCGCCUAAGGUGGGACAGAUGAUUGGGGUGAAGU